GUAGAAAAGGGUUAGUAAGGACUACAACCCUUUUAAAACAAAACUACCUUUGAUGAUGAUGAUCAAAAGUGACAAUGAAUUGUUGGUAUCACAAGCAGAUCCAGAUAAUUAUGUGUGUGCCAGGUCACUUUUUACAGCAGUGAAGGAGCACAGGAUUAUAUUCUGUCUUUUUUUGUAUCACUUCCCUGAAAGGCUUCGCAGUAGCUUAGCUCAGUACAGUUUUAUAUAUAAAAUGAACCAUACCAUCAACAUCAUCUCCUCUACUGGGCAAAUCCUGAUCUCUCCUCUAUGGACAAAAAGGGCCCUCCUGCAGUGGAAUCAGCGUACAAUGGAC